CGUUCUGUAAGCCUGUGAAGGUGUGUCGUGAGGCAUGCUGGAGGUAUCAGAAGUGCGAAUGCUGACAUAAGUAACGAUAAAGCGGGUGAAAAGCCCGCUCGCCGGAAGACCAAGGGUUCCUGUCCAACGUUAAUCGGGGCAGGGUGAGUCGACCCCUAAGGCGAGGCCGAAAGGCGUAGUCGAUGGGAAACGGGUUAAUAUUCCCGUACUUGGUGUUACUGCGAAGGGGGGACGGAGAAGGCUAUGUUGGCCGGGCGACGGUUGUCCCGGUUUAAGCGUGUAGGUGUGUGUUCCAGGUAAAUCCGGUU
rnacentral:rRNA from 5 species